GGAGGCGCUGGAAGAAGAACAUCACCAGCUGCUUUCGAAAUUUAUGUUGUUGCUGCUGCAGCAGGCCUAGAGUCCUUCCUACACACACUGAUUCCUCCUGACAGCCUGGAAAAAACUCCAAUGGAAAGGCUGAAAACACAUCGCUGUGGUGCUCACCUGGAACACGUGCCAUUCCGCCUGAACAUGCCUGGAGACAACGGUUCCUUCCUCUGCUGCGACCUCCAACAAGCUCCACAGACUUAAGUUUUUCGUAUUGGAAAUGAUACUUAAUAUGCUUUCUGUAUUUUUUUGCUUCUCACCAAACUUAUUAAAUUGAUUUUCUCAAAAUUUGA